UACAGAGGUGGCAAGCGUUGUUCGGAAUUACUGGGCGUAAAGCGUACGUAGGCGGCUUUGUAAGUUAGAGGUGAAAGCCUGAUGCUCAACAUCAGAAUUGCCUUUAAGACUGCAUCGCUUGAAUCGUGGAGAGGUAAGUGGAAUUCCGAGUGUAGAGGUGAAAUUCGUAGAUAUUCGGAAGAACACCAGUGGCGAAGGCGGCUUACUGGACACGUAUUGACGCUGAGGUACGAAAGCGUGGGGAGCAAACAGG
rnacentral:rRNA from 1 species